UACGAAGGGGGCUAGCGUUGCUCGGAAUCACUGGGCGUAAAGCGCACGUAGGCGGAUUGUUAAGUCAGGGGUGAAAUCCUGGAGCUCAACUCCAGAACUGCCUUUGAUACUGGCGAUCUCGAGUCCGGGAGAGGUGAGUGGAACUGCGAGUGUAGAGGUGAAAAUUCGUAGAUAUUCGCAAGAACACCAGUGGCGAAGGCGGCUCACUGGCCCGGUACUGACGCUGAGGUGCGAAAGCGUGGGGAGCAACAGGG
rnacentral:rRNA from 1 species